rnacentral:misc_RNA from 1 species
GAUGAAGAACGUAGCGAAAUGCGAUAAGUAAUGUGAAUUGCAGAAUUCAGUGAAUCAUCGAAUCUUUGAACGCACAUUGCGCCCCCUGGUAUUCCGGGGGGCAUGCCUGUCCGAGCGUCAUUACAACCCUCAAGCUCAGCUUGGUGUUGGGCCCCGCCGCCCCGGCGGGCCCUAAAGUCAGUGGCGGUGCCGUCCGGCUCCGAGCGUAGUAAUUCUUCUCGCUCUGGAGGCCCGGUCGUGCGCUCGCCAGCAACCCCCAAUUUUUUUCAGGUUGACCUCGGAUCAGGUAGGGAUACCCGCUGAACUUAAGCAUAUCAAUAAGCGGAGGA